AUACGGAGGGUGCAAGCGUUAAUCGGAAUUACUGGGCGUAAAGGGCGCGUAGGCGGUCUAUCAAGUCAGGUUUGAAAUCCCACGGCUCAACCGUGGAGGUGCAUCUGAAACUGAUAGACUUGAGUAUGGGAGAGGAAAGUGGAAUUCCCGGUGUAGAGGUGAAAUUCGUAGAUAUCGGGAGGAACACCAGUGGCGAAGGCGACUUUCUGGACCAAUACUGACGCUGAGGCGCGAAAGCGUGGGGAGCAAACAGGAUUAGAAACCCGUGUAGUCC
rnacentral:rRNA from 1 species